GACAGAGGGUGCAAACGUUGUUCGGAUUUACUGGGCGUAAAGCGUGUGUAGGCGGCUUGGCAAGUUGGAUGUGAAAGCCCACGGCUCAACCGUGGAAGCGCACCCAAAACUGCUUCGCUCGAGUCUCGGAGAGGAAGGUGGAAUGCUUGGUGUAGAGGUGAAAUUCGUAGAUAUCAAGCAGAACACCUGCGGCGAAGGCGGCCUUCUGGACGAUGACUGACGCUGAGGCGCGAAAGCUAGGGGAGCGAACGGG
rnacentral:rRNA from 1 species